rnacentral:rRNA from 1 species
UAAGCGGAGGAGAAAAAACUAACAAGGAUUCCCCUAGUAACGGCGAGUGAAGCGGGAUGAGCUCAAAUUUGAAAGCUGGCACUUGUGUCCGCAUUGUAAUCUCGAGAAGUAGUUUCUGUGUUGGGCCAUGUACAAGUUCCUUGGAAUAGGACAUCAGAGAGGGUGAGAAUCCCGUACUUGACAUGGAUUCCAAUGCUUUGUGAUCUGCUCUCUAUGAGUCGAGUUGUUUGGGAAUGCAGCUCAAAAUGGGUGGUAAAUUCCAUCUAAAGCUAAAUAUUGGGGAGAGACCGAUAGCGAACAAGUACCGUGAGGGAAAGAUGAAAAGCACUUUGGAAAGAGAGUUAAACAGUACGUGAAAUUGUCAAAAGGGAAGCGCUUGAGGUUAGACAUGCAUGCAGUAUUCAACCUUUCUUUUGAUGGGUGUAUUUGCUGUAUUGCAGGCCAGCAUCGGUUUUGUCUGCUGGAUAAUAGUAGAAGGAAUGUGGCAUCCUCGGAUGUGUUAUAGCCUCUUACUUGAUACAGUGGAUGGGACCGAGGACUGCAGUGUGCCGUAAGGCAGGCUCUUCGGAGUACUUUCACACUUA